AGUACCAGGCUAGCUGGAAAGCUAAAUUCCCGUGGAUUCUCUAUGAUGCAGCAAGAAACAAAGUGCUCUGUGAAGUAUGUUCGGCUGCUGACAAAAUGCAUGCCCCAUGUACAGUACACGUUCCUCCGGUGGUAGACAGCAGCCAGUGCAUCUGGAUUAAGAUGUUACAUAUGUGUAACCACCGACCCUAAAUCCUGCACAGAGACCAUAAGUUGUCCUGCUGGCUUUGAUCAGUGUGCCACCGUGACCGACAGUGGUUUAACCACCAAGACCUGCUUCCCCAGAGCUGCAUGUAUAGGCUCC